UACGAGUGCCCCAAGCGUUAUCCGGAAUCAUUGGGCGUAAAGGGUGUGUAGGCGGUUUUGUUAGUCUUUUGUUAAAGCUCUCGGCUUAACCGGGAAGGUGCAAAAGAAACGGCACAACUAGAGGAUGCGAGAGGUGAAUGGAACUCAUAGUGUAGGGGUGAAAUCCGUUGAUAUUAUGGGGAACACCAAAAGCGAAGGCAAUUCACUGGCGCAUUCCUGACGCUGAGACACGAAAGCGUGGGUAGCGAAUGGG
rnacentral:rRNA from 1 species